rnacentral:lncRNA from 1 species
GGGUCGGAUUGAAUAUAAGCAGAUCGGAUCAGAUACUAAUCGAGUUAAAAAACUCUGAAUCGGAACCCAAUCUGUUUAUUUAAAUAGGUUAGAUUUUAAAAUCCAAACCUGACCUACUUAAUAAACAGAUUACUCGAUCUGACUUGCUUACUACCCGUUUAUAACCCAUUAAAAAAAAAUCCAAACCAUUUAUGAUUUG